GCGUGAGUGACGAAGGCCAUAGGGUUGUAAAGCUCUUUCACCUGCGACGAUGAUGACGGUAGCAGGAGAAGAAGCCCCGGCUAACUCCGUGCCAGCAGCCGCGGUAAUACGGAGGGGGCAAGCGUUGUUCGGAAUUACUGGGCGUAAAGGGCGCGUAGGCGGGCGCACAAGUCAGAGGUGAAAGUCCUGGGCUCAACCUGGGGACUGCCUUUGAAACUGUGUGUCUUGAGUUCGGGAGAGGAGUGUGGAAUUCCCAGUGUAGAGGUGAAAUUCGU
rnacentral:rRNA from 1 species